rnacentral:rRNA from 1 species
AACUUUCAACAACGGAUCUCUUGGUUCUCGCAUCGAUGAAGAACGUAGCGAACUGCGAUAAGUAAUGUGAAUUGCAGAUACUCGUGAAUCAAUUGAAUUUU